CGGACCGGCGCACGGGUGAGUAACACGUAUGAAACCUGCCCGUAGCAGGGGGAUAAGCGGAAGAAAUUCCGUCUAAUACCGCGUAACAACCCAUGGAGGCAUCUCUGUGGGUUUAAAGGAAGCGAUUCCGGCUACGGAUGGUCAUGCGUCGCAUUAGCUUGUUGGCGGGGUAACGGCCCACCAAGGCGACGAUGCGUAGGGGUUCUGAGAGGAAGGUCCCCCACACUGGUACUGAGACACGGACCAGACUCCUACGGAAGGCAGCAG
rnacentral:rRNA from 1 species